UAACAAGCAGGAUGCCGUGGUGCCGUUUAGUCCCUAACAGUCAUCACAUGACAUCAGGGCAUUUUAGGGCACUUCAAAUACAGGCAGACAGCUGGGAAGGGUUAUGAACACCCCUCCUGGAGGUGACAGACGGCAUGCCGCCCUUGCUUUCCAGCAUGUAAAACUAAAUGUCUGUAACAAACAAACCUAAUUUGGAGAAAUGAAAACGGUUCUAGUUCCUGUUUUUAUUUUAGCUAGGAUUUCAUCCCACUGUCCUUCUAGAAAAGCAACUUACAGUUCUGCUAAACUAGAUGUUAGAUUGGUUAUCUAUGAAUGUAAUAAAAUUCUUUCAUCUUAUUAUACAGGACACAUAUAUCUUCAAGGAAAACGAGUGAGAAUUUAAAUUCCAAAGAAGCAUUCAAUUCCAAGAAGAACAAAGUUAAUCAUUGAUGAGCUUGGUUUUCUGAGACAUAUGCCUGGUUUAAUGAUGCUGAUGGCCAGCUAAUGAAAGUGGGAGAUUUCUCAGCAUCUUUCCUGAGAAGAAACAGUAAGCGGGACUGCAGCUGGCAGUUUAUGGUUCACCAAUGACCCCGAACAGCAUCACUGCGGAAUGCAGGAAGAAAGCGGUGCAUUGUGCAGAAGCAGGACAGGGGCAAGGAGAGAAGCCAUCAGAGGGGAACAGCAUUCUGCCCUCUGAGACGACCAGAUUUCUCUGUGAGUGAGACAACCAGACUUCUCUGUGAGUGAGACGGCCGUGCUUCUCUGUGAGUGAGACAGCCGUACUUCUCUGUGAGUGAGACGACCAGACUUAUCUGUGAGUGAGACAGCCGUGCUUCUCUGUGAGUGAGACGGCCACACUUCUCUUUGAGUGAGACGG